rnacentral:snRNA from 1 species
GUGCUUGCUUCAGCAGCACAUAUACUAAAACUGGAACGAUACAGAAAUUAGCAUGGCCCUUGUGCAAGGAUGACAUGCAAAUUUGUGAAGUGCUCCAUAUUUAA